UCUGGAUAAUUCCACGAACCGUCAGCGGCGGACUAUAACAGAUCAUAAUCGCAGUUGUUUGGUGCAAGACCAUAGAAUGGUACCCAAUUUUGCCUGCCCUCAUCAGUCAUCACAAUAUAAAGGAUUUUACAUUUAGAAGACAAUCCUGCAAAUUUGCAGCUGUACAAAUUGCACUUAUCUCAUCUGCUGCUGGAAUAAAUAAUGAAAGAUUUUCAAACCAGUGUCCAAGAGCCCCCUAGAGUCUGAAAUGAAGGUGUUCUUUAUUAAGGAGAUCAGUGUGUGAUGUAUUUGUUUU